ACGAUUAAACAGAAGACUACAGAGAGUAAGAGUUUAGAUUUGGCUGUAAUUCAAGUUGGUUCAUUUUCUUUCCACAAAUAGUAUGCCUGAAGUGAAAAAAUAUAUCUAAUCUGCUUAUGGCAUCUGCCUGUUCUUCUUAUGCCUUUUGGUCACUCUGAGAAACUGCUAUUAACAUUAUUAUUUUGACUUCUUUUCUUAAACAUUUUUACUUCAAACACUAUACUUUAUAAGAUUAUUCAUAAGUUGUUCUCUAUGGCUUGACUUCCUGUUUAUCUUGGUGUAACAAAUUUCACUGAAAAAUGAGUGCCCACUGUGAACAAAGAUUUAUUCCAAACAAUCAUUGCCCACAAGGAGCCUUCAGGGGAAUGAACUACCUUGGAAAAAGUUCCAACCAAAAUAUUGUGCAAGGACAAAACUUUAGGUCCUUUUUAUUCUUUGCUGCUUAAGUGGAUGCAUGGUAGUCUUAUACUGACAGUGAGGUACAUUUGAACUCUUGGGUGUGGUUCAUGGGAAGAUGGGAUCCAGACCCGUUUCUGAUGUUACCUUCUUCUUUUAGACUGUCUAUAACUUGUGUUAUGCUCCUUCUCUCUUCUCCAAGCUUAAUUCCUUUGAACACAGAGAAUUGGUGCCAUGGCAACUGAGGCUCUGUGAUAUCACCAAUGAGCUCACUGCCUCUCUUGCCCUACUCAGGCUGUCAGUGGAUGGUUCUCGGGGUGAACAAACCAUGCCAGUUUGGAUAUUUGAGGACAAUGCUAAGCUUAAGUCAAACAAUUCAUUUUACUGCUGAAGAGAAGAUGUCUUUCAGGCCUGGAAGUCAUUGCUUAAGUUAGGAAUACCCAGGGAAAACCAGGUCCCGAUUAGGUUUCUGGAUUUAAACUCUGGGAAAAAAUCAACACUGGACCCGAAAGCCACUGGCAGAAAGUGGUGACCUGGGGGUAAAUCUGACCUUCCCAGGCCUUCUGUUUGUCAGGCAGGAUGUUGUGGACUAUAUAGCAGCUAAACCACAAGGGCUGUGCUGGGCCAGGCUCUGCUUUGGGCAGUAUGGCCCGAGGCACCCAGGUCCCUAUCUUUGCACAGACUUCCUCAGGCUGUAUGUAAAGGCUCUAAGGGUUGCUAUGUCUCCUGUGGAGUUUGGGUGGAAGAGAGAGAAGUGGACAGAUAUACAUACUUGGUCAUUUCAUAACUGACUUUAGAUCAAUGAUAUCUAAACUUUUGGAGUAGGUAUAGGUAGUGCUUAAUUUCACCAUGUUGUCUUCUCUGUUCUUUCCAAACAAGCCAUGGACA
rnacentral:lncRNA from 1 species